rnacentral:rRNA from 1 species
UACGUAGGGGGCAAGCGUUGUCCGGAUUUAUUGGGCGUAAAGAGCGUGUAGGCGGCCGUACAGGUCAGCUGUGAAAACUCGAGGCUCAACCUCGAGACGUCGGUUGAAACCGUACGGCUAGAGUCCGGAAGAGGAGAGUGGAAUUCCCGGUGUAGCGGUGAAAUGCGCAGAUAUCGGGAAGAACACCCGUGGCGAAGGCGGCUCUCUGGGACGGUACUGACGCUGAGACGCGAAAGCGUGGGGAGCGAACCGG